CAGUUUGGGGACCAUCAUGGGAAGAGCAUCUUUCCUGUGUUUGGUGCCUUUGCGGAUUUGUGGCUGAACAGAAAUCUCCCCCAUUCCACCGCUCAAACAGCGACCUCAGGACUUUCUGUUCCGAAUCCACCAAAUGCGAAAGCGACCAGACAACAUCGCCUCCGCUCCCCAAGGGCUGCUCAUUCAAGUGGCUGCCCUUGCCAACCCUGCCUGGGCCUCUGCAGGUCUGUCGCAGCUCCCCCUGCAGGUAGAGAGAGGAAAAGGGGUCCAGAUUCCGCAGAGAGGAAGGGGGAGGAGCGGCCACCGCCGUGAGUAAAUCUUCAUUAUCAUAAAAAAGGGAACCACGGUUUCACUCUCCCCGUUUUUAUGAUGAAGUAAAAUAAAAUGGGAAAGAAGAGCGAGAGAAGGGAUUGCUCAGUAAAUGGCCUCAAACCCAGCACGUGUUUAUUUAAGCGUCUCUGUGCAAACAUAACCCUGGGUGUCCGUUAAAUCAGCAGGCAUGUCAGUUGGCACUUCUGGUUACAGACCAUUUUACGGUCAUACAUCAUUCAUAGCCGUAAAAGCCAUUUGCCCUCUGUCACCCAACCAAUCAGGAUCCAGCCAAGAGGAAGCGGAGCAGUAGCCUGGCAGUUUUCUCCAGGCUCCUCUGAAUUUCCUCAACCUGGUUCAGCAGAAUGUCACAGAAAAUUAACUCUCCGGGGUUAUUAGGGACCCCUUCCCUUCCCCCACCCUGCUAAGAAGCAAUGCGUGAUUUCAGGCUAAUAUUUACCCCAAUCACAAGCAACACCUUGUGACGUCCGGGGUAAGAGAGCAGCGGGCAUUGUACGCAGGCCCGGCACAAUACCCGUCGCCUUGAACCACUAGAGUGAAGAGACAAAUGUUUUCCAAGAAAUAAGAUGCUUGAGUUGUCUGAACCCUGCCAAUGGACAAUGUGGGCCUCAUGUUCUUGGAGGUCUUUUCCUCCAAUACCUUGUUCCUGCUGACCUCUGGACCUGUCUUGGACCUCAAGUCUGCUCUCUUCUCUGGCCUGUGGCCACCAAGACACCUGAAGGCCUGCAAUUAGUACUCAUAUCAUGCACUCAUAAGGACCUAUGGUGACAAUUCCACGUGUGUGCAUGUGUGUGCUCGCAAAUGUUACCUGGUAAUCCAGCCUGGCAGAUAAGUAACUGCUAACUAAGAAUUGAUGUUGGAUAUCAUUUCGGGUAAUAGUCGCUCCUCGUAACCGCACCAGGGUAGAUGUCUUUGCCAGCUUUCCUCCUAAACACCUCCCGUCGGCUCUUCUCUCUCCCUCAACAUACUCUUUCUCUCUCUCUAAUUCUCAGGCUGCUCCCCGAACCUCAAAAUCCCUCCAGUGUUACUAGGCAGAACCAUUCACCACUGUCUGGGACCCAAUCUGAAGGCAGUCGGUUGGCCCAUAUAAGUAUUUGCUAAAAUGAAGACGGUUCUCUCCCCUAAGAUGAGUUCUGCCGCAGCUCAACUAACAGGCAACCUACAAGAGUUAUUUCAGGGCUAUCGAAUGGUUAUAAUUUAGGAUCCAUUUUACAAUCCCUCCAUACAUAGGCGGAGAAGACUUUCACAAUGAAAACCGUAGCAAGCACCAACCACAGCCAACCUGCAGUUCCUUUCUGACCCGCCGUGUCGUUAUUAAUUGAAAAGUGAACAUCAACUGGACAGCAUAGAUAUUUUUACAAAUCUAUAGAGGCUUGAGCCGCGAGUUGCACAAAAACGGUCUUGGAGGAAAAUAACACAGAAGAAGUUGCCAGGAAAGAACUAAAUGAACUUUCUCCUUGUUAAGAAAUGUUUAGGUCCUUUUGUUUGUAAAUGGCAGGUGGGUGGUACAAUUCCAGUGUAAUUUCAGAAAGCCAUCUUCUGAAUGUAAUAAACAUGUCUGCAAUAAUAGGAUUCAGAAAAUCGCAAAUGCAUUCCAGAAACCCUUUGAUUGUGCACACAGAACAGAGGAUUUAGCUAUAAUUGGCUAUAACACAGUUAUGGACGGCAAAUGACACACGGCGGAGCUGGGUGAUGUAGCAGCUCUGAUUAGCGACCGUAAGGUUCAGCUGAACAUCGCGAAUAAAACAGCAAGUGCAUGGUGACACAGCACCUGCCCUCCCUCCCUUCCUCUCAGCCACCUUCCCUCCCUCCCUUCUUCCCUCUCUUCCCGCCUCGCUCCCUUCCUUGCUCACUUUCUCCCUUUCUGUUUAAUUGAAGCCUCAUAACUUAGACUAGAGAACUUAGUUUGUUAUUACCCAACGAAUCACAUGUCAGCCAAGCCUUCCUUUUCUUCAGAGAGUCACAGUUGUGUGUAAAGAGGAAGUAGGAGCCCAUGGGGAAUUGACUUUUUGGAGAACUGGAUGUAAUUUGAAUCAAGAAUUAUAAUAGGAAAUAAACCAUUGCAAUAAACAAGGAAACAUGUACACAAUUACUUUCACGGCGUAAUUUUAUUCACGCUAGUUGAGAAAAUAAAGA